rnacentral:tRNA from 1 species
UAGCUAAGGGUAAAGUAUCUGCCUCCAAUGCGGGAGACCCGGGUUCGAUCCCUGG